UACGUAGGGGGCAAGCGUUGUCCGGAUUUAUUGGGCGUAAAGAGCGUGUAGGCGGCCAUGCAGGUCCGCUGUGAAAACUCGAGGCUCAACCUCGAGACGUCGGUGGAAACCGCAUGGCUAGAGUCCGGAAGAGGAGAGUGGAAUUCCCGGUGUAGCGGUGAAAUGCGUAGAUAUCGUAAGGAAGACCAGUGGCGAAGGCGGGUCUCUGGACAGUUCCUGACGCUGAGGCACGAAGGUCAGGGGAGCAAACGGG
rnacentral:rRNA from 1 species